GGGUGCGUGGCUGGACGUGACUAGGAAAGGAUGAAGGUUUCAAGAGAAUCAGCCCCCGGUGGGCUGCUGUCUCUGCAUGGCUUAGAGGGGUGGGACAAGGAAUAUCACCUGACCCAAACUAGGGCUGAGCAUGUUUCCCCAGCUGGAGGAGAGGGUUUCCAGGAAGAGCCUGUCCCAAGGAAGAAUUUUUUUGCUUCGGCCUGGCAUGACCUACCACAGAGGACAAGUCUUCUGUGCACCAUGGGAAAUCCUGAGGUGGACG
rnacentral:lncRNA from 1 species